UGUCACCAGCCCAGCAGCAGUUCUACUUCAUAAACAUUUGCGUGGAGCAGCAUUUGUGGCCACUAAAAUACCAGCGUAUAGAACUCUCCCGUCCCCUUCCUUUGCUACAGUAAAUGGCAGGCGAAAAGGCAAUUUCUCGGCGUCUUCACCCCAGCACCGAUCCCCUCGCUUCUCCCUCCUCUCCGGCGGCCUGUCGGCGCCGAUCAUAGGACUGGGCUUGCCACCUUAGGCAGCAGCAUGGCGGCGACCAUCGGAUGCCCUGCGCCAGUCAAGGUGCCUAUCGAUCUCCGGAUAGAAUCCGGUGUUGCAGUAUCAAUUUCAGAUCGAGAAGAAAGUCAAAUGCAUGAUUUGGAAUGACUGAUUUUACAUAUGGCCAUUUGCUACCAUAGUACCGUCGGUGGAGGUGGCUUCAUGCGCACCUAAGAGCAGAGCAGCAGCAGAGCACCUACGGCCAUCUCCCACGCCUAAGACCGGACGUCGCGCCCGCUCGGUCGCAGCGAUCUCCGCGUUGCUCUACCUCACCGAGGGCAACGUCUGGCGGGGUCGCCGUGCCAUUCCGCGUGGCCGUUUGCCGCUACAUCUUUCGUCCUUCUGCGAGACCACGGUCUUCCCAAGGUCUUUGGGCCCUGCCUUUCCGCGAUUUGCAAAUGGAGAAAUCCGUCUUCCAUGGGAUGUUUGCCUGAAAUCGGCGUUGUAAGAGGUCAUCAUCGCAUCGGCCAUCAAGGACAUCGUUCGGCUCACAAGUUAUUUGUCUUGCUCUUCAUUUUCUCAUUCUUUUCUCCCCAACUCGUGGUUGCAUGUGUACAUAGUGUACUUAUCAAAUACCACGUCUAAAAUACCAAUGUAUAAUUUUUAGAAAAGGAUAUUUUAAAUACCAAAGUAUUUUGCAAUAUGAAGGAUGUACAUAGUGUACUAAAGGAUUUCUUUGAACACAAUAUUUUUUGCGACAUUUUCGUCGGGAGACUAUUCAUCUGAGAUUAGUAUCUUCAGUCCUUGUUUGCUUGUGACACGUGAUACAGCAACAUAUAGUUGUCCGUGUGUGAAAACUUGCUUAGGUAAAAAGAGUUCAACAUUCUUUAGUGAUUGCCCCUGACUCUUGUUUAUCGAUAUUGCGAAGCACACCGAUAUUGGGUACUGCCUUCUUUUCAACAUAAAUGGCCACUUUGAUUCGUUUGGUGACAUGAUGAUUCGUGGAAUAUACACCUUAUUUCCAAUGUUGGAACCGGUUAUGAUUUGUGCUUUGAUGAACCACUUCCCUAGUUGUGUUAUAGUCAACCUUGUGCCGUUGCAUAGGCCUGCACUUUGAUUGAUAUUUCUCAGCAGCAUUAUUGGCAGACCAACUUUCAAUCGUAGUGCAUGAUUUGGUGUUCCGGGGCAUUUCAAGCUGUUGAGGAACUCUGUCGGAUACAACUGAUCUUCAGUUUCUUUGUUUGACAUAGCUUUGCAAACUAUAUCUGAGCUUAGAUAUAUUGUUUCUUCACCUGGUAUUUGACUCAUUAUGUAAGAGUUUAUCUCAUCCACCAUCUCAUUUCUUGGGCAUAAGAUGGCCCUUUCUUCUAGGUAUGUUUUGUUUUUGUAGUUCAUAUACAGGUCUGGGUACGUGUUGUUGACAAUUGUCUCCAUUUUGUUUGCUCCUUUUUGCAAAAUCAAGUCUUCUGGGAUUUUUAUCCAUGCCUCAUCCUCUUUGUUUCCUGCUAAGCCAUCCUCAAUGCUAAGUAUCCAUUUUUCAAAUUCUUGGGUCCUCUUUUGUUCUUCUGGAGAAUCUGUAAGUGCAGUCAGACGCAUAUUUUGUGUUAGCUUAAUUUCUUCGAAGUGCCUCCAUAAGUAUGAACGCUUUAAGGAUGCAUCAACAAUAUGAGACCUGCGUCCUUUAGGUAUGAUUGGCAAUGUUUGUCUGAAAUCACCUCCCAUUACUACUGUCAUCCCUCCAAAUGGUUUGUCUUGGCUAUUGCUAUUUGUAUUUCUCAGAAUAUCUCUCAAGCUCUUGUCUAGUGCCUCGAAGCAGUGUUUGUUUGUCAUUGGGGCCUCAUACCAUAAUAUAAGAGAUGCCUUGUUUAAUAGCUCUGCAAGAAAUAAUCCCUACUUGAUAUCGCACGUCGACUCGUUGUUGAUGUUCAGUGGGAUGUGAAACCUUGAAUGUGCUGUUCUUCCUCCUGGUAAAAGAAGUGCUGCUAUUCCACUGGAGGCCACAGCUAAAACUAUCUUUCCUUCAGAUCGCAGCGAUGUUGUGAUAGCCUUCCAAAGAAAUGUUUUCCCUGUUCCACCAUAUCCAUUUACAAAUAUAAGUUUGCCAAAUUUAUUGUUUACUGAUUGUGUUAUUGCAUCAAAUGCCUUUCUUUGAAUAAGAUUCAAUUUACCGAGCAGUUCCAUGCUUUUUUUUUCUAGAGCACAUCUAUCAUAGUUUAGCUCCUCAUUUAUCAACCUAUUUCUUAGACCCUGCAUGACAGUGUUGUCUGGUAAUGGCAUUCCUUUAAAUUCCUUUAAAGAUUUUCCGCCUUCCCUUAGCAAAUCCUCGAUCUCUAUUAGCGUAAGAUUCCUUAUUUGAUCUGGCUGUAGCUGUAGUGUAUUGAAAUUUAGAAUUCUCCUAUGACGCCUUUGGAUGUCCUCAGAGAGUAGUUCCCAAUUUGAUUCCCACAAUUUGUCUGGGUGUGUGACCUCACAGAACAACAGUAUUGUGCAAAAAAGUUGACGCAUUUGUGCUGCAGAAGCCCAAUAUGAUGCCUCUUUGAUGCAGUCAUCCCACUCGUUGUCAUCAUCUAGUAAACCAAGUGCGUAACACGCCGAUUUGUAAGUUGGGUAGAUAACACCAUUCACUGUUCUGAUGUCUUUGAAUAAUUUGCAUCCUUUGAUGAUGUUUAGCAGUAUUCUCAUGUAGUACCUUUCACCACUUGCGGGAUGGGCAUAAUAGAUCCUUCCUAUUGAUCUUUUUCCUCCACGUCUUGGUUUCCAUUCCUUUUCCUUUGAGUGCCAAGUCCACUUUGUUGGAAAUUCUGCAUAGGUUAUUUUGCGUGCAUCUUCGUGCAAUCGAUUAGCUGUCAUCCACUCUGUGAAAAUUGAAUUUUCUAUACCUGGGCGAUGUACAAUCUUCUCAAGAUCAGUGGAGUCAGGAAACACGACUACCUGUUCAUUUUCAAGGUGGAACUGUAAUCUCUGUACAGAUGGCUCUCUGUGUUGAAGUUCGAAUCCAAAUAUAUGCCACGAUGCUUCUCCUGCUGAUAAGUACCGUGCAUCAAGGUACAUUUGUAUUUCAUCAUUCUUAUCUAUAGCAGUCAGCUUUGCAGUAGCUCUAUCAUCUCCUUUGUGUAUGUAUUUGAACAGGUAUUUUAUGGACCUUGAUUUAUUACACCACUCGACGUUUAUGUGUGCCUGGUACUUGACUAUCAAGUCUCUAUUGUAUGGAAUGACAUACCGGUUGUCCAAUCUUACUCUAUCUACUUCUACAGUUCUCCCAUCAUCUCUUCUUCUGUAUAUUGGAUACCCUUCCUCAUCUAUUGUUGUCUCUUGACAGAACAUUUUGGGGAAAUGUUUUGAGCAUUUACCAUCAAUCAUGCAUGAUGAUUUAUGAUUUGCCUCUCCACAUGGUCCAUGCAUCAUGAAUUUUUCAAUAGCCAUAUUACCUUCUGGAUCCUCAUCCUUGUCUGGGAUCUCUGCUGAUAUGAUGCUAUCAAUAUUAGAAGGGUUGGGGUCCCUGUCUUUUGGGUCUAGGAAGACCAGUAUGUGUGCAUGAGGAAGUCCUCUUUUCUGAAACUCAAUUGUAUAGAUAACUGCAAAAGAAAUUUUUUAAUAUUAUAUUUAAUACUGGGAGGCACAUAUAAUUUGAUAGGGAUCAAAUAAUUAACAUGGUCAUAAAUGAAUUGUAGAAAUGCUAAAGAUGGUUUGAUAAACAAACCUGCUAUUGUGCGGCCGAAGCACAUGUUUUUCUUGAUGUUCUCUGUUAUUAGUUGAUGCAACUUUAUAACGAAUACUCUAUUGCAAAUAUCAGGACGGUCUUCUGGCUUUUGACCUGGUAUGUAGUCCAGCAUGGACUGUAUUUCGGGCCACUUUGGGUUACAUGUGAAAGUGAGAAAGAUGUCUGGAUAUCCAGCCCAACAACAUAUUGACAUAGCAUCUUGGUAGUAUUGUUGCUUAUUUCUUGGACUUCCUGUACACGAUGAAGGCAAUAUUAUUCUUUUACCUAUCUGAUCAGUUCUUGUGUCACCAUUGUCAAGCGCAUCUUGCAGUCCACUGUACAGUUCUGUCCGUAGCGUGCCUUGAUGCAUCCUGUACCAAUUGAGUCUCCACUGUUCAAUGCAUGCUGCUGCGUCUACUAUGAAUUGGAGGAAUAGUCGACCACUCAUUAGCAACAAAGUUGACUGAUUCAAGCGUUGUUGGAUGCGAUAUGCAUAAUAUUCCAUCAUGGUGACAUGCUUCCUCUCGCCUUCAUGGCCCUCUAUUUCUUCAUAUGGUAUUUCAAAUCUAAAUCCGUCCUCCCCAUACGGAAAUAGCAAAGGGUAUUGCAUAGACAUAAAGCUCGGAUGCAGUUCGGAAAUUCUUUGUAAGUGUUUAUCCUUGUCUUUCACUAUUAUAUCCCGUCCUGAAGCUUCAUUAGUUUGAUCUCCCAAAAUGAGUGCUGCAAUUUCAGAGGCAGUUGGCAGGUUAUAUUAUCUUCCAUCUCUCGAUCUUUCACCCAGUAGUCGUAUUUUAACAUUUUGGAAAUUUGAUUCUCUAAAUCUGUCCCUUGCCAUGCGAAAUGUUUUCACCAAAACAUUGUUCUCAUCAAGCAUCUCCAACAAUCCAGACACAAUGUUUUCGUCUAAUUGUUGGUUGUUUGUCUUUGAGGUAGAUGCACACAAUCUAUUUUUUACCUCAUUUUCUGUAUCAUAUAUGUACAGCUGGGCGAAUUUUGGAUUAUCACCUUCUUUCGGAAGCAAUGUGCCUAUUCGAUGAUAAUUUUGGCCGUUCAACUGAAAAACAUAGGGUCCACCACCUUGUUUAUUUAUCUCAUGAUCGAUGUGGCCACCCAUUGAAGUAAAUGCAAACAUUGAAUUGUAUGUUCUGAUGUUUUGUCUAUAGUUCGAUGAUUCUCCUCUUUCAUUAUAACAAAGUAGUUUCUCAAGAUAUGUUGGAGGCUUUUUCAAUAGUGGCAGCUUCACCUUCCCUUGUUUACAGCAGAGUCCAAAUGUUGGUCUUGAUUUAUUCCUAUUAUGCUUGUUUCUUUCUUGAUGCCACAUUACAGCUUCACAGUGUGGGCAUAUGCAAGUGGGUUUUCCAAAGUUUGAAGCUUCAGUUGGAGGAGGACGUGGAGCUUUUCCCCUUUUUAUGGCUCGUAACUUUCGUAUUUUUUCUCUACAUGAUUUACUCAUUUGUCUUGUAGCAAAAUCAGGAUUAGAUGAUUGGUUGCAUAAAUUUGGUUCCUGCUGAGACUGUGAGUCAUUUGUUGCUUCUGAAGUAGAUCUGAUAUCAUCAUUACCUUUGUUGGUCGAUAAAUACAUUGAUUUGUGAGACAGUGGUUGUUUCCUCUUUGACGGUUUUUUUAUCGAUUGAUAUUUUGUAUCACUGCAAAAAAGAAUGUUAUUUAUGUUAGUUGUUACUCAAUAAUACUCAGUGAUUGAAUAGGCAAUGGUGUUAUCUAAUUGUCUACCUUUCUUUCACUUGAAUAGGCCAUCUCCAAUUAUAGCCCCUCUGGGAUGUAAAAUAUACAUUCUGAAAAAUACAGUGUUAACAUAUUUUUUUAUAGCAUUUUGAGAACUUAUACAAAAUAUAAGUGUUGCAUGGUACCCUUUUGCUUGGUGGAAUAACAAUGGGACUUGUGGAUGUUGAUUUUUCAGUCAAUGGCCUGCAACAUUGUCUAUUAAAGGUAAAUGACGAUUGUAUAGUAGUAGUAUGAUAAAUUAAUUAUUUGGAAAUCAAGCUGCUACCUUGAAGCAGAUUCAGUAUUGCCGUUUUUCCUGCUAUUCGACCUCGCACGUUUGUUACUCUCUUUGUCAUCUAGUGGUUGUUUCCUCUUUGAUGUUUUUUUCAACUUAUACCUUGUAUCACUGCAAAAGAACGAAUGUUUGAGAAGAUAAUUGUUAAUCGUAUUGUUAUAUGAUCGGAUAGGCCAUGAUGUCGAUCUGGUGACUACCUUUUUUUCACUUGAUCUUUUUUCCCCUGAUGUUGCUCUAUAUUGUGAUUGUUGCUUACAUCCUGAAAGGAAGGUACAAUGUCAACUUAUUUUGCAUAGCAUUGUGAAAACUGAUUAAAAAAAAGUGUUGCAUCAUUACCUUGUUGUUUGGUGGUACAGGUACGGCUUAUGCUGAUGUAUAUAUUUCAGUUGAUGGCCUACAACAUCUUGUAUUAAAGGUCCAUAAUUAUGUAGAUCAUCUUCAACAUUUCUGGAAUGCAUUUUGAUUGAUUAGUCAUGUUGGAAAGGUUAGUUUAGAUACUAAAUUUAUUUGAAAGAGUUUACCUUUGUUGACUUGAUUUACUCUAGCCUGAAAAGUUGUUAAAUUAUGUUGUAAAUAAUCUGGCAAAAUAUAUUGCAGCUCGAAUGUGGUGUCAGAAAAGGAGGAUUGAAAUAGUGUAGCCAAGUUGGUACCUUGCUUCUUUUCUGAACUAAUAAAUUUUUCCUCUUUAAUCGAUUGUCUCUAGUACUGAAUGGUUGAUGUAGCAUGUUGUUUUGAUCCAUAAUGUAGGGCGUGAUGCGAUCUGUGAGGAAGUACUUUAAAAUUAUGGAUUAUAGAUACACCGACUUGGAUCUGAAAAGUGUCAAUGAAAACCUGUUGAUUGAAUAUGUAGGCUUUGUGCUUGAUGAUGAAAAAUAUGUGGGUGUGCAGCCUAAUAUAAUGCAAUGGCACGUGUUUGGAUUGGUCACUGUAUGUAGCAGAAGAAUGUGAUGCAAUCUGUGAGGAAGUACUUUAAAAUUAUGGAUUAUAGAUAUAGAAGAAUAUAAGUAUGCUGAAAUAAAGAUAUUCCACCUCAAUGUUCUUACCUUUUUAUACCACCGAUUUGGAUAUGAAAACUGUCGAUGAAAACCUGUUGAUUGAAUCUGUAGGCUUUGUGCUUGAUGAUGAAAAAUAUGUGGGUGUGCAGCCUAUUAUAAUGCAAUGGCACGUGUUUUGAUUGGACACUGGAAGCUGUAUUAUUAUAUGAAUGUAAAGAGAGAUAUACAUGUUUAAGGAUCACCAUGGUACUAAUUUAGAUGCUUUUGUGUACAUAAAAUAUUAAAUACAUGCAAACCUGGAAGAUGGAUUCGUCCAGACCAGUGUACAUUUGGUUGACAAAACAGCAAGGAAGGCUACGCUGAAAAUAUGUAGCAGAAGAACGUGGAGAUUUGGCUUCCUGGCGACAUAGAAGGACUCGGCAAGAUCUAGCUUAGAAGAGCUUGGUGAGACCUUGCUUCGUGGCGGCACACAGAACUCGUCAAGAUCUGGCUUCCAAGCAAACUCGGCGAGAUUUGGCUUUUGGCAGAAUAAGCUUGGCGAUCUUAUCUAUAUAUGAUAAUAUAGUAGUGGAUAAAAUUAGUUUUUGUUAGUUGUUGUUGGACUCGGUUACGUGUCCAGGAUAGUAUAUUUCUUGUCAUCAGGUGUUUGGGCUCGUUACGAUAUGUGACAUAUUAAUUUUCAUAUUUUGAUAUUGAGCUCAUGGUAUGUAUGGAUGAAUACGUAAUGGCGGAGGUGUAUAAAAUAGUAUAUUUUUGACAACAGGUUUUUGGACUCGUUACAUUUGGAAACGAUUAUAAUUUUGAUACGUGGCAUAUUAAGACAGAUAUAUUAUUAGAUAUUAUGUUAUAUUUUAUUAUUUAUAUUGAAAGCAAGCUUAUGCUGAGAAUAUAUCAAAUUCUUAAUUUUCAUUUAUAUAGUCUGCAAAUAGAAAUGUAAAUUUUAUUCUGAAAUAUUGGAAAUUCCUCUUGGUUUGAACUGUGCACAUGCCUCCUCAUAAGCCCGGCCCAUUAGUCACCAGUCCACCACCAAUCUGGACCACUUCUACUUCAUAAACAUUUACUCGGAGUAGCAUUUAUGACCACUAAAAUCGAUGGCUGAGUGCUUGUAGAACUCUCCCGUCCCCUUCCCCUGCUACAGUAAAGGGCAGCCAAAAAGGUGAUUUCUUGGCGUCUCCGCCCCCAGUGCUGAUACUGUCACUUCUCCUUCCUCUCCGGCUGCCUGCCGGCUACAACAAUUUGCUACCAGAGUACCGUCGGUGGAAGUGGCUCUCAUGCGCACCUAAGAGCAGCAACACCAGUAGAUCACCUACGACCAUCUCCCACGCCUAAGAGCAGCAGCAGCGCGCGGUGUGCAGUGCCGACGCCGGGCCCACUCGGUCAAGGCGAUCUUCGCGUCGCUCGACCUCACCGAGGACAACGUCCGGCGGGUCCAGACACUUUUCGAGCUUCUUCGGCCCGGCCAAAUUAUUACAUGCAUAGAUACCUUGGAUUAAAAAAAGCAGAACAACAACACGUUACUGGAAGAUGGAUUUGUCCAGAACCGAGUACCUUUAUUUGACAAAACAGGAAGGAAGCCAACGCUGGAGAAGAAAAUUUGGACUUGCAUAUAUAUUCGAGACCUGGGACAUGCAUCAUACUCGGACUUCGAUACCUGGCAGAUUUGUUUAUUGUAUCCCAGCCGUAAAUAAUGGCAUUGACGUGUUUGUUUUGGAUUCCUUUUAAGUUGUGUUGUGUACGUGUACUAUUUGAUUUAGAGCCUGGCAAGAUGUAGCUCAGUGCUUUUGGCAAAAUAGUAUGAUAAUAUAGUAGUGCAUAUAAUUAGUUUUUUAGUUGUUGUUGGACUCAGUUACGUGUUCAGGAUGGUAAGUUAAUUUUGUUGUACGGAUGAAUAUGUAAUGGCAGAGGUGGGUAAUUUAAAAGCAAGAAAAGGGUUACUUUGGGAUAUGUUAGAUCCAAUGGUUAAGGAUGAUUAAGUCUACUAAAUCGAUAUCUGUAUGGUUUGCUUUUUUUAAGGAUUUUCUU